CGGGUGAGUAAUAUAUCGGAACGUGCCCAGUCGUGGGGGAUAACGUAGAGAAAUUUACGCUAAUACCGCAUACGAUCUACGGAUGAAAGCGGGGGAUCGCAAGACCUCGCGCGAUUGGAGCGGCUGAUAUCAGAUUAGGUUGUUGGUGAGGUAAAAGCUCACCAAGCCGACGAUCUGUAGCUGGUUUGAGAGAACGACCAGCCACACUGGGACUGAGACACGGCCCAGACUCCUACGGGAGGCAGCAGUGGGGAAUUUUGGACAAUGGGCGAAAGCCUGAUCCAGCAAUGCCGCGUGCAGGAAGAAGGCCUUCGGGUUGUAAACUGCUUUUGUACGGAACGAAACGGUCCUUUCUAAUAAAGAGGGCUAAUGACGGUACCGUAAGAAUAAGCACCGGCUAACUACGUGCCAGCAGCCGCGGUAAUACGUAGGGUGCGAGCGUUAAUCGGAAUUACUGGGCGUAAAGCGUGCGCAGGCGGUUCUAUAAGACAGAUGUGAAAUCCCCGGGCUCAACCUGGGAAUGGCAUUUGUGACUGUAGAGCUAGAGUACGGUAAAGGGGGGAUGGAAUUCCGCGUGUAGCAGUGAAAUGCGUAGAUAUGCGGAGGAACACCGAUGGCGAAGGCAAUCCCCUGGACCUGUACUGACGCUCAUG
rnacentral:rRNA from 1 species